rnacentral:lncRNA from 1 species
CUCUAUCCCCAGCAGAGGCAGCGGAGAAGACAAGGCCGGGAGGCACCGGGCUAGGCUGCGCACCAGGCCCAGGCCUGUCCCUCGGGACCGCGCGUGCCGCCUGAAUCCGCUCCCCCGUCGGGCCCGGUCCAGCUGGCGCGGCGGCCACCCUCACCUGGAUGACCUCGUUGACCUCCCGGAUACAUUCCACCAUGUGUUGUAGAAUCUGCUCGGCCGUGAGCACCUCGUAGCGGUAAUCCUCCUCCUGCUCAUGCCCCGGCCCGCCACCACCACCGCCGCCGCCGCCGCCGCCGCCACCGCCGGGCCCCAGAGCGCUGCCGCCGCCACCGCCCGUCUCCCCGCACAGCAGUCCGUCCCGCUCCCCGCCGACGCCCAGCCCGGGCUCCACCAGCUCCACCUCGCCCAGAUCCAGGGUAUCAUCGUCCGGCUCGUCGUCGUCUUCGUCCUCCUCCUCCUCGGCGCCGCUGUCCUCCUCACUGCACUCCUCGUCCUCGUCGAACUCGUAGUUGUAGCCCUCGUCCGAGUCCAUGGCGCGACGCGCGGGGGCCCGGCGGACGCUGGCCGAGGCGGGGAGAGGGCGGGGACGCCGAGGCCCCGGCUCUCGCUCCGGCUCCGGCUGAUGUCCGGACGCAGGCCUGGCUCCGGCCCCGCGAGCCGCGGCUCCUCCCCAGGAGCGGCGGUUGGCGUUUGACGGCUGGUGGCGGCGGGGAGGGCGCGGAGGAGGGAGGGAGGGAGCGAGGGGGCCGCUUGCUGCCCGCCUCAGUCAGACGCGGCUCCGCUCCGGCCUCCGAGAGAAAACAGUCCCCAACGCCACCUCCACGGCCGCUGCUAUCGCUACUGAGCCAACAAAGGGGCGUGCGUCACCGCGUCGCGCUGCGUCGUCGCGUCACUCCUCUUUGCGUCACUGCGCCCCGCCCCACCGCCCCUGCGUGGAGCCCGGGGAGACCCCACGGCCCGGCCUUCCUGGGCCUGGGACCCGAGGGGAGCCGAGCGGGAAUUGCUUUCCUGGUUCGAUCCGCUGCCGCUGUGAGGGCCGAGCGGAAACCCGUAGACCUUUUAUGUGAAGAGAUUGCGGCCUCCUGGUCACCAGUCACCGAGAGAGGGACCCCUGGACCGCCUACGUGGUGGUGUCUGCCGCAGGCCAUAGGGAUCCAGCCCACUUAGGCAGUCCCUUGGGGACGCGGCCUUCCCUCCGGAGCGGAAAGGCGCUUCCCGCCCGCCCUGCGGUAAUCCCGGAAGCCCUCAGCCGUUAAGCUAAAAUUUCUGUUGCUUUGGCUACUGAUGGAAACCUGUUGUAAGUGGAACCUCUAAACUGUAUGACAGGUGAACCCACUUUAGGUAGCUGUGUGAUUCUGUCCACUUGUACAGACGUGCAGUGGUUUUUAAGUCUCCUAUAAUGACGUCAUUUUAAAGAGGCAUUUCCUCCACCCCGCUGACAAGAGCGCCUCUUGAGGGCCCUAAACAAUGUAAACAGCGAUGAUUUUCAUGAAUUGAGCACUGUGUAAGGGCUUUACAUAUAUUCUGUCUCAUCUUCACGGAGCCAUAGUACCCAUUUUAUACCUGAGGAACCUGAAGCUCAGAAAGGAAAAGGGACCUGGCCAAGACCACAUAACCCUUGCCCUAUUUUAACCGCUGGAUGCCCCAAAACAUGAAUCAUAAAAAUGCUUUGUAAUGUAGAUAUAUUAUGUACUAUGUAGUACAUAAAAGACAUGAAUGCUUCAACAAAAUACAGGCAAUAAUAGAAAUAUCUACAAGGGCCAAAUGUAGCCAGAGAGAUAAUGCUUGAAUCUCAUCUGAAAGUGUGCUAUGUGAGCUGAGUGUUGAUGAAUGGCUAGGAGUUCAACAGAGAAGGUAGGGAAGAUGGUCUAGCCGCAGAGAACAAGCAAAAGCGCAGAAGGUGUCAAGUAAGUAAUAGUUUGGGGAGCUUAAAGUGCAUGGAGGGUACAUGGCAAAAUAUUAGGCAAGUUAGUCAGGGGUCAUGUCAGUUAAGAGCAUUUUAUGCCUAAGAGUGGGCUUAAAUCUUUGCAAACAGGACAUGCGAGCCAGAGAAGUGUUAUGAAGGAAGAAGAGGCAUAAGAAGGCUCCCUCUUGAGAUAAUCUGAAGAAUUGGCCAGAUUGAAAACCUUUUAAAAUCAAAACCCCUGAUUUGUUGAUAAAUCUUACUGUUCAACCUAUAGGUUCCCUUUGGAAAUUGAUUUUGAAAAGUGAAAAAUUCCAUUAUAAUGUUAAAAAGCCUCUUCCAAUUUGUCCAUUUUGUAAGUUUUAAAAUACCGAUAAUUAUAUUUCUUAACCUCAGGAUUUACAAAGUAAAGCAUUUAACCUCAA